rnacentral:rRNA from 1 species
UACGAACGCUGGCGGCGUGCUUAACACAUGCAAGUCGAACGGAAAGGCCCUGCUUUUGUGGGGCGCUCGAGUGGCGAACGGGUGAGUAACACGUGAGUAACCUGCCCUUGACUUUGGGAUAACUUCAGGAAACUGGGGCUAAUACCGGAUAGGAGCUCCUGCUGCAUGGUGGGGGUUGGAAAGUUUCGGCGGUUGGGGAUGGACUCGCGGCUUAUCAGCUUGUUGGUGGGGUAGUGGCUUACCAAGGCUUUGACGGGUAGCCGGCCUGAGGGGGUGACCGGCCACAUUGGGACUGAGAUACGGCCCAGACUCCUACGGGAGGCAGCAGUGGGGAAUAUUGCACAAUGGGCGGAAGCCUGAUGCAGCAACGCCGCGUGCGGGAUGACGGCCUUCGGGUUGUAAACCGCUUUCGCCUGUGACGAAGCGUGAGUGACGGUAAUGGGUAAAGAAGCACCGGCUAACUACGUG